CGGGUUGCACGUGAGCGCAGCCGCAUUGGGGGGAUCCCUUCUCUGGGGAGGAGCAGAGCCCGGGGGGGGGGAGGGGUUGUGCGUCCCGUGCCCAGGGCAGCAGGAGGCCCGUGGAGGAGACUCUCCAGAGAGGCCGGGGGCUGCUGUGGGGUCUGACAGAGCUCGCUGGCUGGCUCGGGUGAAACGGGGACCCUCAGGAGGGAAGGGUUUGGGCCUGACGGGCCAAAGGAGGUGGCGUUUCAUAAGGACUCAGCUGAACCCCAGGAAGAGGAGUGUUACUUUACUCUUGCCUGCAAGUAUGUCACUGUGGGUAGGGUGUGUGCAGGGCCACACUGUGCCAUGCCCUGGGGUGGGACCCUGCCACAUUGAUGCUGCAGGGCAGUAUUGGGAAAGGGAGCUUCAGAAAAGAGAUUGUUAUUGUAUUGUGGUAGCAGCUAGGAGCUCUAGUCAUAGACCAGGACCCCAGUGUGCUAGGCACUGGACAAACAGAACAAAAAGAUGCCCCACAUCCUAGGGAGCCUACAAUCUAAGUAUAAGACACAUUAUGUAGCUAAGACACCCCUUUUUUUAUUCCUGGUUGGAUGCCCAAGUAGGCCCUAAAGUUCCAAUUGCAAUUUUCAAAAAAAUAUGGGUUAUGCCUAGUGCCAUGGCCAACAGCCUUCUCUCCCCAUCUCAGGGAACCAGGUUGUAAUGUCCAAAAUGAUGUUUGUGCCCCUGCUGUUAAGCUCGCCUGUGGAGUUAUUUCACUACCACUAUAUAUUGUUUUGUAAAAUAGUGUAAUAUAUUGAGUAUGGAAGAUGCUUUAUACAUAUACAUUGUUCUCCACUCCAGUACUGACCUACCAAGAAGGAAAAAAAAAAAAGCCUGGGAAUCAAUUACAAGCAAGAUGGUUUUGGCAGCAUCUGUGGUCUAUGGUAGUAUUUUGGCAGUGCAGGAGACCUGACUUCCAUUUCUGGUCCUGAUUUCACAUCCUGUGAAGUAAUGUCUAUCUCUCUUAAGCCCUAUGUACUCUUCUGGAGAAUUGUUACAAAAACUUCCCACCCAUUUACCUAGCUUUCUGAUUAUGGUAGCUGUUUUCAGCACUAGGUGGAAGGGACUGUCUUUAAAUGCUUUGGGCAGCACUACCAACUUUAAUGGUAUGACAUACAAAUGUUACAAAAUAAUACUACCUUAGAGUUUGGAAAUGCUCUUGAGGCAAGAGGCUUUCCCCUCUGGAGGGCAGGAGUACUCAUGUUGCUCACCAUUGACUCCUCCAGCUGAUUAAGGAGUGGCACAAUCUAGAUUCUAUCUAGAAGAUGGACUAGAAAACAUCAACUGUUUCUGAAGGGAGUUGCAUCCAUUUUUCCACACCAAAGAGGACAGUAGCCAUUGCUAGAGUUGUGAGGAUGGGAAGUGAAUGGAGAUGGAAAAAAUGGAAAGAUACUCAGGAUUGUGACAGACAUGAGGAUAAAAAAAGGCAGACUUUCUUCCUGUAUUUUUCCUGAAGCAGGCAGCUGCAAUGACCAAGUCAACAAAUAUCAGAACAGAUUAUUUGGGUAUGGUCUGUGCUACAAAGGGCGAACGCUUUAUAAAAGAUGCAAUUGCAUGAAAAACUGUGAGUGCAUACAGGAAGCUGCUGUUCCAGCAGUGCAUUGCUUUGACUCCUGCUUGGAUGUCACAAAACAUUCUUGAGAAAUGGAGGAAAACAAAGGGCAGUGUGCUGGAGCCACCAGAACCCAAUUCACUGCUGUAGGUGACCUCAGGAGAAGCUGGCAGAGCUGGGCAGAAGAUCACAUUGAUUAUCAGAGACAGAAUCCAUUCAGCAAUGAUAGCAAGCCCGUGACUAAGUCUGUGCAUCCCCAAAGAGGAGAUCCCAUCUAUGGGAGACCGCCUGAAGGGUCUAAAACAGAGCAAAGAGGGAAAGAUGCCCACACACAUGUGGGAAAGGAAGUGGAAGAGAUAUGCUUGAUCAUGAGAAAUAUUGGGGAGAAAGGAGAUGAUGGAAAUGUAAGAGUGACAUUCCGACAGCUAUUUGAAACAUAUGUGACUAUUUCCAAUAAAUUAGUGGGAAUCCUGCUGAGAGCAAGGAAAUAUGGGCUGGUUCAGUUUGAAGGUGAAAUGCUUUGGCAAGGAAAAGACGACAAUGUCAUCAUCACCUUACUUGAAUAAUACUGAUGAAUGUUUCCAUUUAGGAAAAUAAACCAUCUAAAUGUCAGCUUAAUAAAGGUUUAUACAGCACAGGGGUGGAAUGGAAAACCAGUGAAGAUGAAAAAUAUUUUGAUAGGAUCAUAGAAGUUGGAGAUAGAUUAGUUGACCCAUUGCAUCAUUUCUAUCCCUGUGCCCUUUUCCUUCACAGCUUUGUCUUGUCUGCUUCUAAAUGUCUCAAGUGAUGGCUUCUCUUACCGUUCUGCAUAACUGAAGUUAAAAUUCUUUACUAACUUAUUACCAGUCUGCACUGGGUCUUGUAGCAGUGAGUUUAGAAAUAAGCACAGAGUAAAAUCUAUCACUGAAUGUUGUAUCUUGCUAAUGAACCACAGUUGAAUGCUUGGAGAUGAAUUAAUAAAUUUUUUCACUUAAAAAACAAACAAACAACUGUACCUAUGGUACAACUUUAAUUAUUUUCACAUAUUGAAAUUGUAAUAAUACAGGCAGAUUAGCCCUAACUUCACACAGUACUUGAAAAAUUCAAAACCUACCAACUUAAUGAAAUACUCCUUACUUAAAUGUUCUGCAAUUCCAGCAAUAGCAUUUGGUGAUUUCAUAAGUUGUGUUCCACUUUAUGUAUUUUUGGAAGUCAGAUUUUUUUGAUGUGGUAGAAAAAUGUCUUUGCUUUCUUUCCCACUACCUUUCUAAGUUAGUCUGCUUUUUUUUUUUUUUAAUUUAAGGUCCUGUUCUCAUGCUUACUUCUGUCCCAAGAAGUUUACAUGGCAGUCUCUGCUAUGCCCUUUGCAGGAAAUCUGGAAGGGCCCUUGUAAAGGGAUUCUAUCUAGGCCACCUCAGAGGGAAGGCUGCCACAUAACACAGGGCCUUUGAGGGCAGAAAAUGUAAAUUAGGCUAAUGCUCAUGGCACUGAAUAAAGAGGCUGAGUCCCUUGAAACAAAAUACAGCAAUGUUGUGCAACUUUUAGAAGGAGGAGCCCGGGGGGAGAGGAGAUGACAGACCGUAGAGUGCCAAAUAGACAUCUAAUCAUGCAACACAUAAUAAUAUACCUCGUUUGGCAGAUGCAGAAAGACAGAGUGGUUUAAACUCUAUGGGUUUUCAGAAUUCUUCAAAAAGGGAAGAAAGAAUGGUCUUGUGGUUGAAAAAUGGGAACUAAUAGAUAUAGAUUCUACUUCUGGUUCUGCUAUGAAGUUUCUGGACUUUUCUACACUAGAAAAAUUAGAAUCUGUAAUUCAAAUUGAUGUAUGAAUACCACUGGAACCUGUAAUAUACUCAGGAGCCCUGUUUACACUACAGUUUCCCUCAAUGCAUUUGCAUCCAGUGGUGAUAACAUAUUCCAUUUUUGACACUGUAGAUUCAACUCCUUGUGUGAUACUGACCAAGUGUCUUAACAGGUCUGGUGCCUCAGCUUCCUCACCUGUUAAAUGAACUAUUCCCCUGUUUAGAGGGAUGUAGAGGGUUAAUUGAGUGCUUUGAUAGACUCAGAAGGAGAUUGGUAAGUUCAAACUAUUAUCAUGCUAUUAGAGAUACUUGAAAAUUUGUCAGCUGUCAAAAUAGAAGUUUUGAAACAAAACUUCAUUUCAGUUUGAGUUGAUGCAAAGUUUGGUUUUCAAUUUUCAUUCCCCUUAACCCAGGGGUCCCCAACACGGUGUCCAUGGGUGCCCGGAGUCUAAAUGCACCCACGUUCUGGCCAGCGGUCGAGCAUCCACUGAAAUGCCACCGAAUUUCUGGGGCAUUUUGGCGGUGAUGCCUCUCGAUGAUGCUGCUUGCCACUGACAAGCGAUGUCAUCGAGAGGCGUCGCCGCCUAAAUGCUGCAGAAAUUCGGCGACAUUUCGGCAGAUGCUCCACUGCCGCCACGGUCCUUCGUCUGGUGCCUGCCAGACGAAAAGGUUGGGGACCACUGCCCUAACAUCUUCUCUCCUUUUACCACUGGAACAGGAGAGACAAAAAGAAAAUUGAAAACUUUUCAGUUUCAGUUGAAACAAUUGCUUGUUUUGAUGAAAAUCAAACUUCAAGCAAUACAGAAAGCUUGAAAAUUUUCAUAUUCGAACAUCCAUUGGUCAAAACUUGUGCUUCUCAGUAGCUGUAAUAGUGCAUGUGUACUGUAUGAAGAUGAACAUAUAGUAGAAUCAAGUUUUUUAAAACACAUUUACAGCUAGUACACUUAAGUUUUAAAUGCUGUAACCCCCUUGAUUUCUCAUUACAGUAGUGGAUCAUUCCUCCCAGGAAGUGUUUUUUAGGUAGGACACGCCUUGAUAGGUGACCAGUGGUACAGAUCAGCAUUGCUGGGGAAAAGCAAGUAACAGCCUGCCUCUUAGAAGUGGUACCCCAGUGCUCCAGCCCCAUUGGGAUGGCAUAGAGACAGGCCAGUUAAAGUCCAAUGAAAUGAAUGAGGAAAGGCUACUCUUGGGGAGAUAGAGCGCAAUUGGCUGGUCCUAUCGUACAUACAUAGGUUACUAGACAAAACUUAGUGAGGAGGUCACUGGGGAUUCUAAGUGCAAUAAGAUGUUUCCCUGUUCACAAGUUAUGUACAUGAGUCCCCUAAAGCCUGGUAAAUCCUUCUGAGUGAUAGCAGGGGAUAGUUAAGCAUGUAAGAAUCACCAUACCAGAUCAGACCAUAGCUCUGAGUUCACCAGCCUGCAAAGGUGUGUGCAGGGGAGGGGAGGUGGAGGUGGGGAGGACACAGAAUUCGGGCACAGAACUCAAGAGGCUAGGGCAGGGAGAGUGAGCUCCUGGGCCGGAGAUGACAACAACUCCGGCCCUGGGGCCACAGCAGGAGAGGCAGCUUCUCCAGCCUGGAGGGUGGAAGAGUGCCAGCUCCUCGGGCCCUGGGGGCACAGAAAGUGCCCUGCCAGAAGUGGACAAAUUCUUAUUCCCAUACAUGCCCCUGCUAGCUUGCUUUCAGCAAUGGCUAAUACCUUAAAAGAAGCUUGAAAGAAUGGAGCUGUCCAAUUUGUUCUCACAGGGGGUGAAAAAUAAAAUCCUGAGCUUGUCAGGAAACCAUUAAGUAUAGUGGGUAGAGCAUGAGACUGGGGUGCAGACCUGGCUUCUAAUCCCAGUUCUAAUAUUCACUAGUUGUAUGUAUGAUGCAGACGAAAUACUUAAAUCUUUCUUGCCUUGGGUAACUCAUCUUUGAAAGGCACUUUGAGAUCUACAGCUGAAAAAGCACUACAUAACUGCACAUAAUUCAUUACGAUCAGCUAAAUUGAUUACAACCACUCAUAAGAGAGCAUGUGGAAUACAUUAGUAUACCAGGAAAAUAUUUACCAUUUAUUUUUAUUGGGUUGGGUUCUGUUUUUUGAUAUUUUAAAUUGCCACACAUUCAGUAGCAAACCUUGGUUUUGAUCAUAUUAAAAUUCCUACUUUUGCUCUGCCAAGUCACUUUCUUUUCUUCCUUCCAAUCCUUCCUAAAAGAUUAACUUUUUCUGGGUUCCCACAAGUAGUGAAUAACUUAACAUAAGCUACCAAAAGAAAAGAAAAAAAAAUAUUCCUUCAUUUGUCUUCCAGUUGUGACCUGUCCACUCUUGUGUCUAUUUAGCUGAGAGUGUAAGUUCUUUGGGACAGGCUUUAUCUUGUGAAGCACUGAGCACAGAGCCAGCAGUUUAAUAAAUAUCAUCAUGCAACAGUUGAA